rnacentral:lncRNA from 1 species
UUAAAUUUCCUUUUGCGUAAUAGUACAAUUUGCAAUCAUUAAAUAAAUAGCAAUAGCAAGUGACUACUGGCAGCAGAGACAAACACCUAGAAAUUACCCUAUAUAUAGUAGCUUACUCUCGGUAUCUUUGAAGAUGUUGUGGUCUCACAGUAAAUCCAUACGCAUACCUGCCAAAAGAAUAAAAGAUUAUGCUUUAUAUUUUUAUUAAUUUUAUUGUCUCGGCAAAAGUUUAAUUGCCAAGUAAAGAAAACCAAAACUGUAACCAUAGUUUUUGUGGGUGAAAAGUAGCAUGAAGGUACAACAUAACAAUAUUUGAAUCCUGCUAAAAUGGACAAUUAUGCGCUUUAAUUGAGCAAUUUAACCAAAUUAAUUUGUGAAGGACCAAAACACUUUUACCUGGAAUCAACAUCCAAUGAAUGCUUACUCAAGAAGGAUAACAACAUACUUCAUCAAAGUCUCUGAUCCUACAGCCCAUGUCACUCUUUUUCUCCUCACGCAAAUUCAGAUCACAAAAACACAUACGCAAACAUUCUUCUCACCAACGCAUUCCCUCCUCCUACCAAUCUUUUGGCGUCGAGAAGGUUCAUCCCCAAAUUCUAAUAAAUAUAAUCAAAUGCCUCUAAAACCUAAUAACACCUCGCAUUGAAGUGGACGAAUGAGAUACAAAGUCAGGUUUAGAGGUUUGUUCUGGCCGGAAGAUUUCUGGACCUUAAACUCGUCACUCAGAUCAGGCGUUCAUGUAGACACAAGAGAAUGGUGGUUCCUGGAAGCGUAGAGGAUAGCGAAAAAGAACCUUUGGCAAUCGGCAUGAAUCCUUCUUUCCUAGAUAAAGAAGAGAGGGAAGAGCAUAUUUAUCGUUAAGAACAUCUUGGUGAACAGAAGAUAACGUUACUGUUUACAUUG